AUUGAACGCUGGCGGCAGGCUUAACACAUGCAAGUCGAGCGGGGUGAUGGUGCUUGCACUAUCACUUAGCGGCGGACGGGUGAGUAAUGCUUAGGAAUCUGCCUAUUAGUGGGGGACAACAUCUCGAAAGGGAUGCUAAUACCGCAUCCGUCCUACGGGAGAAAGCAGGGGGUCACUUGUGACUUUGCGCUAAGAGAUGAGCGUAGGUCGGAUUAGCAAGUUGGUGGGGUAAAGGCCUACCAAGGCGACGCUCUGUAGUGGGUCGGAGAGGAUGAUCCGCCACACUGGGACUGAGACACGGCCCAGACUCCUACGGGAGGCAGCAGUGGGGAAUAUUGGACAAUGGGGGGAACCCUGAUCCAGCCAUGCCGCGUGUGUGAAGAAGGCCUUAUGGUUGUAAAGCACUUUAAGCGAGGAGGAGGCUCUUUUGGUUAAUACCCAAGAUGAGUGGACGUUACUCGCAGAAUAAGCACCGGCUAACUCUGUGCCAGCCGCCGCGGUAA
rnacentral:rRNA from 1 species